UUCAAUUUUUGACUCUUUGUUUUAUUAAAAAAAUUUUGCGAUUGAUAUUUUUUUAUUAGAUGAUAAAUCAUGAAUAGUAUUUUACGUGUGACUAAUUUUUUUCUAAUUUCCUAAAAUUUUUUUAAAUAAGACGGAUGGUCAAACGUUGGACACGGAAACC
rnacentral:pre_miRNA from 1 species